UACGUAGGGGGCAAGCGUUGUUCGGAAUUACUGGGCGUAAAGGGCUCGUAGGCGGCCAACUAAGUCAGACGUGAAAUCCCUCGGCUUAACCGGGGAACUGCGUCUGAUACUGGAUGGCUUGAAUCCGGGAGAGGGAUGUGGAAUUCCAGGUGUAGCGGUGAAAUGCGUAGAUAUCUGGAGGAACAUCGGUGGCGAAGGCGGCAUCCUGGACCGGUAUUGACGCUGAGGCGCGAAAGCCAGGGGAGCAAACGGG
rnacentral:rRNA from 1 species